rnacentral:lncRNA from 13 species
GAGAACCCCUAGCUGUCAAUCAAGCAGGCGCGGUGAACGGAUUAUGACGCUCAAGCGUUCCAAAUGACGCAACAAUACAGCUCCAGACCAGAGAAAGUUAAUGCCGAGGAUAUUAUUCGGUUCAACACUAAAACUGAGGUUUGACACGUGUGAUUUGAGGCUAGAGCUUGAGGACACAACUCUGAAGACUGUUUCUGAAUUCACUGACCUGAAAUAAAACUUGUAGACCUUUCCUGCAGUCUCUGAGGAGAUGGACACCUCUUCUUCUUCUGGACGAUCUCCGUCUCCUACUGGGACUGUCUUCUUACCCCCUCCUAUCAUGUGGAACAGUCUGUAAGUCAUUCAUCACAUAACCUAGCUCUGGUACAGGGCAUUAUGUGCGGCUUGCUGAAGGAAGGCUCAGUGUCUGCAAGCUGUACGUAACGCCCUGGACCAGAGUGACACAUUACCCACCUCUGGCCAUCAUGGACAGUCAACUCAUCACAUUCACGUACUGUAAGUCACAGUUGUGUGAUUUGUGUUAUUAAAGACAGUUAAAUUGAGCAGAAGUUGAAUUAUUAUUUUAAUAUUGUAGUAAAUUGUCUGAGUUCACUUCCUAAAUAAUGUGUUGACAUUCCUUUGCUCCCAGCUACAAGCAGGCAGAGAUGGAGGUUCACUUCCCGAGAGAAGAGAAGAAGACCUAUACAGAGAAGGAAGCCCACAUGCUUGAGUUGAUGGGGAAGGAUCAAACGAUCCGAAAUCAGAAGAAGGAGAUGGGCAGACUCCAAGUGUGCCUCUGGGAGGAGGAAAAGAAGAAGAGGAAUGGUGGAACGGAGAAGGACAAGAUCAUUGAACAAUUACAGUUUGAGACAGACCAUCUCCGAGCCCUUUUAAAAGAUGAAAGGAGGAGAAGAAGAGUAGAAAGGGGUAUCAUGGAAGAGUGGAAGACUGAGAUCCUGAGACUGAGGGAGGCAGAGAGCCAGAGGGAGGCAGAGAGCCAGAGGGAGGCAGAGAGUCAGAGGGAGGCAGAGAGCCAGAGAGAUGCAGAAAGACAGAGAGAAGCAGAGAGACAGAGAGAAGCAGAGAGACAGAGAGAAGCAGAGAGACAGAGAGAAGCAGAGAGACAGAGGGAGGCAGAGAGAGAGAGAGAAGCAGCGAGACAGAGGGAAGCAGAGAGAGCCACAGAAGCAAUGGAGCACCAGAGAAAACUGCAGGAGAUCCACAGACUCAAACAACUGCUGGAUCUACUGAUGGUGGACCUACAACUGGCCCACCAAGAGAUUGAGAGAUUGAGGCUAUGGCAGAAAUUCAUGGAGGAUCAGCGACCAAGACUGGCCUGGAACAACAAACCUAUUGAGACAGGAAGAGAGAGGGAAAAAGAGAGAGAAAGGGAGAUGGAAAGGAAGAGAAAAGCAGAAUUGGAAAGACAAGAAAUUAAGAAGAAAGUGGAACAGGCAGAAGAAACUAUAAAAUCAUUAGAACGAGAGAUUGAGAGAUUGAAAGAGAUUGAGAAGGAAAUCAUAUUUGAAAGAGAAAGAGACAUGCGUAUUGCAGAGAAUGAGAAAGUCAAACUGGUCAACGAAAAGGUAAAAGAGUUAGAGAGAGAGGUUGAGAGACUGAAAGAAGAUAUGACAACAAAAGAGAUUCAAUACAAAAUCAAAUUUGAAAGAGCGAAAGAAGCGUUUAGAAGACAGAAUGAGAGAGUGAAACAGGUUAACCAAAAUGUACUAGUGUUAGACAGAGAGGUUGUGAGAAUGAAAGAAGAGAUUAGAUUGAAAAACGAGACUGAACCAGAGAGAACAUUUGAUAGAGACAGAGAGAGAGAAAAUGAUUGGAGACGAAGUGAAGAGGAGUUGAAAAAUAGAAUGGAGAGAGAGAUGGAGAUGGAGACAGCCCUCAUCAAUGACAAAAAUACGUCUGAAUUGGAGGAAGUCUUCAAGAAAAUCAAGGAACAGCAGAUAGAAUUAGAAAAUAUGGAAACAGACAAAUAUAAAUGGAAACAGAACCAAAUGGACAUGGAGGAGAAGAUGGAGGGUGAGCACAACAAACAGAAAUAGGUAGAAAGAAAGAGAAUGGAGAAAAUACCAAAACAGAGACAAGAAGAAGAUGAGAAGAAGAAGGAGAUGGAGAGAGAAGAAGAAGAGGAGAGACGCAAACAGAAGCACAUAGAGAUGGAAGAGGAAGAAAGAGAGAGGGAGAAAGAGAGACAGAGACAGAUCAAAAGGAAGAGAAUGGAGAAGAGACAGAAAAUUAUGGAAAGAGAAGAAGAGAGACAGAGAGAGAUUGAAAGAGAGAUUGAAGAAGAAAGAUGUAAACAGAAGCAAAUAGAGAUGGAAGAGGAAGAACGAGAAAGGGAGAAAGAGAGACAGAGAGAGAUCAAAAGGAAGAGAAUGGAGAAGAGACAGAAAAUUAUGGAAAGAGAAGAAGAGAGACAG